rnacentral:ncRNA from 1 species
ACCAAGGAGUCUAACAUGUGCGCGAGCCGCGGGGCAGUACGAAACCCAUAAGGCGAAAUGAAGGUGAACGCCGGCGCGGUCCGGCGGAGGUUGGAUCCCGUCCCGUCGGGGCGGGCGCACUACCGGCCGAUCUUCUCCGCCCUGUCGGCGAGGUCGAGCGAGAGCGUGCAAGUCGGGACCCGAAAGAUGGUGAACUAUGCCUGAGGAGGUUGAAGCCAGAGGAAACUCUGGUGGAGGACCGUAGCGAUUCUGACGUGCAAAUCGAUCGUCAAAUUUGGGUAUAGGGGCGAAAGACUAAUCGAACCGUCUAGUAGCUGGUUCCCUUCGAAGUUUCCCUCAGGAUAGCUGGCGCUCUGUCGCAGUUUUAUCUGGUAAAGCGAAUGAUUAGAGGUCUUGGGGGCGAAACGCCCUCAACCUAUUCUCAAACUUUAAAUUGGUAAGAAGCCCGACUCGCUCGUUUGGAGCCGGGCAUGGAAUGCGAGUGCCAAGUGGGCCACUCUUGGUAAGCAGGACUGGCGAUGCGGGAUGAACCGAACGCCGGGUUAAGGCGCCCGACGCGACGCUCAUCAGAGCCCACAAAAGGUGUUGGUUGAUAUAGACAGCAGGACGGUGGCCAUGGAAGUCGGAAACCGCUAAGGAGUGUGUAACAACUCACCUGCCGAAUCAAUCAGCCCUGAAAAUGGA